AUUGAACGCUGGCGGCAGGCCUAACACAUGCCAGUCGAACGGUAACAGGAAGAAGCUUGCUUCUUUGCUGACGAGUGGCGGACGGGUGAGUAAUGUCUGGGAAACUGCCUGAUGGAGGGGGAUAACUACUGGAAACGGUAGCUAAUACCGCAUAACGUCGCAAGACCAAAGAGGGGGACCUUCGGGCCUCUUGCCAUCGGAUGUGCCCAGAUGGGAUUAGCUAGUAGGUGGGGGAACGGCUCACCUAGGCGACGGUCCCUAGCUGGUCUGAGAGGAUGACCAGCCACACUGGAACUGAGACACGGUCCAGACUCCUACGGGAGGCAGCAGUGGGGAAUAUUGCACAAUGGGCGCAAGCCUGAUGCAGCCAUGCCGCGUGUAUGAAGAAGGCCUUCGGGUUGUAAAGUACUUUCAGCGGGGAGGAAGGGAGUAAAGUUAAUACCUUUGCUCAUUGACGUUGCCCGCAGAAGAAGCACCGGCUAACUCCGUG
rnacentral:rRNA from 1 species